rnacentral:rRNA from 1 species
GACGAACGCUGGCGGCGUGCCUAAUACAUGCAAGUAGAACGCUGAAGAGAGGAGCUUGCUCUUCUUGGAUGAGUUGCGAACGGGUGAGUAACGCGUAGGUAACCUGCCUUGUAGCGGGGGAUAACUAUUGGAAACGAUAGCUAAUACCGCAUAACAAUGGAUGACACAUGUCAUUUAUUUGAAAGGGGCAAUUGCUCCACUACAAGAUGGACCUGCGUUGUAUUAGCUAGUAGGUGAGGUAACGGCUCACCUAGGCGACGAUACAUAGCCGACCUGAGAGGGUGAUCGGCCACACUGGGACUGAGACACGGCCCAGACUCCUACGGGAGGCAGCAGUAGGGAAUCUUCGGCAAUGGGGGCAACCCUGACCGAGCAACGCCGCGUGAGUGAAGAAGGUUUUCGGAUCGUAAAGCUCUGUUGUAAGUCAAGAACAAGUGUGAGAGUGGAAAGUUCACACUGUGACGGUAGCUUACCAGAAAGGGACGGCUAACUACGUGCCAGCAGCCGCGGUAAUACGUAGGUCCCGAGCGUUGUCCGGAUUUAUUGGGCGUAAAGCGAGCGCAGGCGGUUUGAUAAGUCUGAAGUUAAAGGCUGUGGCUCAACCAUAGUUCGCUUUGGAAACUGUCAAACUUGAGUGCAGAAGGGGAGAGUGGAAUUCCAUGUGUAGCGGUGAAAUGCGUAGAUAUAUGGAGGAACACCGGUGGCGAAAGCGGCUCUCUGGUCUGUAACUGACGCUGAGGCUCGAAAGCGUGGGGAGCGAACAGGAUUAGAUACCCUGGUAGUCCACGCCGUAAACGAUGAGUGCUAGGUGUUGGAUCCUUUCCGGGAUUCAGUGCCGCAGCUAACGCAUUAAGCACUCCGCCUGGGGAGUACGACCGCAAGGUUGAAACUCAAAGGAAUUGACGGGGGCCCGCACAAGCGGUGGAGCAUGUGGUUUAAUUCGAAGCAACGCGAAGAACCUUACCAGGUCUUGACAUCCCGAUGCUAUUUCUAGAGAUAGAAAGUUACUUCGGUACAUCGGUGACAGGUGGUGCAUGGUUGUCGUCAGCUCGUGUCGUGAGAUGUUGGGUUAAGUCCCGCAACGAGCGCAACCCCUAUUGUUAGUUGCCAUCAUUCAGUUGGGCACUCUAGCGAGACUGCCGGUAAUAAACCGGAGGAAGGUGGGGAUGACGUCAAAUCAUCAUGCCCCUUAUGACCUGGGCUACACACGUGCUACAAUGGUUGGUACAACGAGUUGCGAGUCGGUGACGGCAAGCUAAUCUCUUAAAGCCAAUCUCAGUUCGGAUUGUAGGCUGCAACUCGCCUACAUGAAGUCGGAAUCGCUAGUAAUCGCGGAUCAGCACGCCGCGGUGAAUACGUUCCCGGGCCU